UUAAGAAUCUUGCGCAAUGGGCGAAAGCCUGACGCAGCGACGCCGCGUGGACGAUGAAGGCCUUCGGAUUGUAAAGUCCAGUAAGUAGGGACGAAUAAGCAACGGGUAAUAUUCGUUGUGAUGACGGUACCUGCCUAAAGCCUCGGCUAACUACGUGCCAGCAGCCGCGGUAAUACGUAGGGGGCAAGCGUUGCUCGGAAUUACUGGGCGUAAAGGGUGUGUAGGUGGCUGAUUAAGUUAAGGAUGAAAUCCUGAGGCUCAACUUCGGAACUGUCCUUGAUACUGGUCAGCUUGAGGCUAGUAAAGGAGAGCGGAAUUCCCGGUGGAGCGGUGAAAUGCGUAGAUAUCGGGAGGAACACCAGAGGCGUAGGCGGUUCUCUAGGCUAGUCCUGACACUGAGACACGAAAGCUAGGGGAGCAAACG
rnacentral:rRNA from 1 species